rnacentral:rRNA from 1 species
AUGCAGGCAUGAGUAGCGAUAAUUAAUGUGAGAAUCAUUAACGCCGUAAACCCAAGGUUUCCUACGCGAUGCUCGUCAUCGUAGGGUUAGUCGGGUCCUAAGUCGAGUCCGAAAGGGGUAGACGAUGGCAAAUUGGUUAAUAUUCCAAUACCAACAUUAGUGUGCGAUGGAAGGACGCUUAGGGCUAAGGGGGCUAGCGGAUGGAAGUGCUAGUCUAAGGUUGUAGGAGGUUAUACAGGCAAAUCCGUAUAACAAUACUCCGAGAACUGAAAGGCUUUUUGAAGUCUUCGGAUGGAUAGAAGAACCCCUGAUGCCGUCGAGCCAAGAAAAGUUUCUAAGUUUAGCUAAUGUUGCCCGUACCGUAAACCGACACAGGUGGGUGGGAUGAGUAUUCUAAGGCGCGUGGAAGAACUCUCUUUAAGGAACUCUGCAAAAUAGCACCGUAUCUUCGGUAUAAGGUGUGGUUAGCUUCGUACUAGGAUUUACUCCGAAAGCGAAGAAACUUACAACAAAGAGUCCCUCCCGACUGUUUACCAAAAACACAGCACUCUGCUAACUCGUAAGAGGAUGUAUAGGGUGUGACGCCUGCCCGGUGCUCGAAGGUUAAUUGAUGGGGUUAGCAUUAGCGAAGCUCUUGAUCGAAGCCCGAGUAAACGGCGGCCGUAACUAUAACGGUCCUAAGGUAGCGAAAUUCCUUGUCGGUUAAAUACCGACCUGCAUGAAUGGCGUAACGAGAUGGGAGCUGUCUCAAAGAGGGAUCCAGUGAAAUUGUAGUGGAGGUGAAAAUUCCUCCUACCCGCGGCAAGACGGAAAGACCCCGUGGACCUUUACUACAGCUUGACACUGCUACUUGGAUAAGAAUGUGCAGGAUAGGUGGGAGGCUUUGAGUAUAUGACGCCAGUUGUAUAUGAGCCAUUGUUGAGAUACCACUCUUUCUUAUUUGGGUAGCUAACCAGCUUGAGUUAUCCUCAAGUGGGACAAUGUCUGGUGGGUAGUUUGACUGGGGCGGUCGCCUCCCAAAUAAUAACGGAGGCUUACAAAGGUUGGCUCAGAACGGUUGGAAAUCGUUCGUAGAGUAUAAAGGUAUAAGCCAGCUUAACUGCAAGACAUACAAGUCAAGCAGAGACGAAAGUCGGUCUUAGUGAUCCGGUGGUUCUGUGUGGAAGGGCCAUCGCUCAAAGGAUAAAAGGUACCCCGGGGAUAACAGGCUGAUCUCCCCCAAGAGCUCACAUCGACGGGGAGGUUUGGCACCUCGAUGUCGGCUCAUCGCAUCCUGGGGCUGGAGCAGGUCCCAAGGGUAUGGCUGUUCGCCAUUUAAAGCGGUACGCGAGCUGGGUUCAGAACGUCGUGAGACAGUUCGGUCCCUAUCUGCCGUGGGCGUAAGAAGAUUGAAGAGAUUUGACCCUAGUACGAGAGGACCGGGUUGAACAAACCACUGGUGUAGCUGUUGUUCUGCCAAGAGCAUCGCAGCGUAGCUAAGUUUGGAAAGGAUAAACGCUGAAAGCAUCUAAGCGUGAAGCCAACUCUAAGAUGAAUCUUCUCUAAGCUCUCUAGAAGACUACUAGUUUGAUAGGCUGGGUGUGUAAUGGAUGAAAGUCCUUUAGCUGACCAGUACUAAUAGAGCGUUUGGCUUAUCUUU